UACGUAGGGUGCGAGCGUUAAUCGGAAUUACUGGGCGUAAAGCGUGCGUAGGCGGUUCGCUGUGUCCGAUGUGAAAGCCCCGGGCUUAACCUGGGAAUGGCAUUGGAAACUGGCGGGCUUGAGUGCGGCAGAGGGGGGUGGAAUUCCGCGUGUAGCAGUGAAAUGCGUAGAGAUGCGGAGGAACACCGAUGGCGAAGGCAGCCCCCUGGGCCAAUACUGACGCUCAGGCACGAAAGCGUGGGGAGCAAACAGG
rnacentral:rRNA from 1 species